rnacentral:rRNA from 1 species
UACGUAGGGUGCAAGCGUUGUCCGGAAUUAUUGGGCGUAAAGAGCUCGUAGGUGGCUCGGCAAGUCGGGUGUUAAACCCCCAGGCUCAACCUGGGGACGCCACUCGAUACUGCUGUGGCUAGAGUCCGGUAGGGGAGCGUGGAAUUCCUGGUGUAGCGGUGAAAUGCGCAGAUAUCAGGAGGAACACCAAUUGCGAAGGCAGCUCGCUGGGACGUAACUGACGCUGAGACGCGAAAGCGUGGGGAGCAAACAGG